AUUGAACGCUGGCGGCAGGCCUAACACAUGCAAGUCGAGCGGUAGAGAGAAGCUUGCUUCUCUUGAGAGCGGCGGACGGGUGAGUAAUGCCUAGGAAUCUGCCUGGUAGUGGGGGAUAACGUUCGGAAACGGACGCUAAUACCGCAUACGUCCUACGGGAGAAAGCAGGGGACCUUCGGGCCUUGCGCUAUCAGAUGAGCCUAGGUCGGGUUAGCUAGUUGGUGGGGUAAUGGCUCACCAAGGCGACGAUCCGUAACUGGUCUGAGAGGAUGAUCAGUCACACUGGAACUGAGACACGGUCCAGACUCCUACGGGAGGCAGCAGUGGGGAAUAUUGGACAAUGGGCGAAAGCCUGAUCCAGCCAUGCCGCGUGUGUGAAGAAGGUCUUCGGAUUGUAAAGCACUUUAAGUUGGGAGGAAGGGCAGUAAAUUAAUACUUUGCUGUUUUGACGUUACCGACAGAAUAAGCACCGGCUAACUCUGUG
rnacentral:rRNA from 1 species